rnacentral:rRNA from 1 species
AGAAUGUUAUCACGGGAGACACACGGCGGGUGCUAACGUCCGUCGUGAAGAGGGAAACAACCCAGACCGCCAGCUAAGGUCCCAAAGUCAUGGUUAAGUGGGAAACGAUGUGGGAAGGCCCAGACAGCCAGGAUGUUGGCUUAGAAGCAGCCAUCAUUUAAAGAAAGCGUAAUAGCUCACUGGUCGAGUCGGCCUGCGCGGAAGAUGUAACGGGGCUAAACCAUGCACCGAAGCUGCGGCAGCGACACUCAGGUGUUGUUGGGUAGGGGAGCGUUCUGUAAGCCUGCGAAGGUGGCCUGUGAGGGUUGCUGGAGGUAUCAGAAGUGCGAAUGCUGACAUAAGUAACGAUAAAGCGGGUGAAAAGCCCGCUCGCCGGAAGACCAAGGGUUCCUGUCCAACGUUAAUCGGGGCAGGGUGAGUCGACCCCUAAGGCGAGGCCGAAAGGCGUAGUCGAUGGGAAACGGGUUAAUAUUCCCGUACUUGGUGUUACUGCGAAGGGGG